rnacentral:rRNA from 1 species
UACGUAGGGUGCGAGCGUUGUCCGGAAUUACUGGGCGUAAAGAGCUCGUAGGUGGUUUUGUCGCGUUGUCCGUGAAAACUCACAACUCAAUUGUGGGCGUGCGGGCGAUACGGGCAGACUGGAGUACUGCAGGGGAGACUGGAAUUCCUGGUGUAGCGGUGAAAUGCGUAGAUAUCGGGAGGAACACCAGUGGCGAAGGCGACUACCUGGCCGUGUUCUUGACGCUGAGGCGCGAAGCCAGGGGAGCGAACGGG